UGUUCUUAUCUUAUAUACUACUUUAUUGGCUUGUUUUCUUGAAUACAGCUAAUAUUCAAUAAUUAUAUGACCAUAUAUAAUCAUGGCGUGUAUAUAUAUUAACACCACCUGCGCAGUUAGAACUCACCACCACCAUCAUAUUUUCCCCUGCUUUCCCCCGCUUAUCAUAUACGCUACCGGCGCAAUCACCGGAUUGCUGUGUUAACUGUUCCGGUGACGAUGUCCGAUCAAAACCCUAAACCCUAAAUCAAUUUUCCCGUCGAUCUAUCUAUUGGGAAAUGGGGAGCAUUAAGCGAAUACCUGAGGCUAUUUGGACAAGGGGUUAUCUUGUUGUUGAGGAGUUGGUUUUCAACAGCCUCGAAGCUGGUGCCAACAAGGUAUCUGUUGCUAUAGGCAUUGGGACCUGCUAUGUUAAGGUGGUUGACAGUGGAUCUGGUGUCUCACGAGAUGGACUGGUGCUGGACUGGUGCUGAUGGGAGAAAGAUAUGGUAAUCUUAUUGCAAAAUGUUGGACUGACAUCAUCUUUUCUAUUGUAUUGAUGCUGCCGUACAUAAUUUAUUAUGCCCGACAAUUAUGAUGUUCAUAACUUGGAAUGAUUGUUAUUGUCUAUAGGAUUGCAUGCAUUACCUCAACUGAUAGGCUGUUUGACGCGACAUCAAAAUACAGGCAUUCAGAUGAUAUGCAUGCUUUCCUAGCAAGCUUUGGAUUUAAAGGAGGGGCUCUGAGCUUUAUUUCUGACGUUUCUUUUUGGAAAUUCCAAAACUCAUGGGAGGCCAAAUAGAUAUCGAUGGCAAGUGUUUGUCCCUUGGAAUUGAUGACUGUAUAGAAGAUGUUGGUACAAUAGUCCAAAGAGAGUUUUCUUUUAAGAGUUUCCCUUGCGCAUCCCAGUGUCUCAGACACUCAAAACUGUUUAUAUUGAAAGGUGAGAACGUCCAGCUUUGCGCACGUGCUUCUCCUUCUCCUUGCCGCUGUUGUCUAGUGGGUUUGGUAUUCAUCCGAGUUCCCUUAACAAAUUGAAUAAAAACAUUGGUGCAUUCAAGCUUUAAGGAUACAUCUCAGGUCCUGAUGUUUACACAGUGAAGGUCCUUCAGUAUUUCUGUAUGACAAAAGAAACAGAAAACUAAUCUUUGGUUAACAUUUACUAUAUCGGAUGCUUGUUUUUUACGGUGUUUUUGUUUUCUUUGACCUUCGUAUCCAAUGGACUACUACAUAAAUUACUUAAUAACAUAGCGAUGAGUUUUGACAGUGCUUCUGACAUUGAGCAGCGAAGUAGAUCUCAGAUAUAUCCGCUGUUUUUGUUGAACCUAAACUGCCCAAGAUCUUUAUAUGAUUUGACUUUGGAGCCUUCAAAGACCUCUGUGGAAUUUAAGAUGUACCUUUGAAUUAUGAGAUCAAGAAAAAUAGGUGCAGGGCCCAGAGUUGCAAAGCUACGCUUGAGCGUCCUUCCCCGCAGCCAAAGAAACUGAAUGGAGAGUGCACUGUCCGGGGAGAGAGAUUCGAUCUUCGCAGAAUAUUCUGUUGGGAAGUGCUUCUGAAAAGCACGAUCCUGAGUCCAGAUUCCUCUUGUCAGAAAGUUCACACUGGUCAAUUGAGAUGGAUCUCUUACUCAUUGCACAGUUGGUGUAAACUGGAAAUCCAGAAGUUCUGUGCAACCCCUUCCAUCCAAUGCCAGACACUAGAGCUGUAAGGAGACUGCAACAUUAUGCAAAAGCUAUCUACUCAGAGCUUCCGCAGCAGUCGUCCCAUCAGUGUGAUCAAUCUUCCACCCAAAGUUUUGGUGAUGGUGUAUUCUCUGAUGACAGGCCAAGUGUGAAAAUGAAACUUGUUAACAUCUGGAAUAGCAAAUUACAAACUCAAAGGGGAGUGCUGGGAGUGCACAAGUACACGUGAUGGGGAGUCAAAAGAAGUGAGAACGUCCAACUUUGCGCACGUGCUUCUCCUUCUCCUUGCCGCUGUUGACCAGUGGGUUUGGGAUUCAUCCGAGUUCCCUUAACAAAUUGAAUAAAAACAUUGGUGCAUUCAUGCUUUAAGGAUACAUCUCAGGUCCUGAUGUUUACACAGUGAAGGUAUACUGGCCCAAAUUGAUGGAUAAAGAGAUGUGAUGUCAUCUUUUUUUCUCUUUUUUUCCCUAACAACCACUGUUUAAUGUGCAGCUCCUUCAGUAUUUCUGUAUCCACUUAUAUCAGUAUGUUUUCCUGGCAAAAGAAACAGAAAACUAAUCUUUGGUUAACAUUUACUAUAUCGGAUGCUUGUUUUUUACGGUGUUUUUGUUUUCUUUGACCCUUCGUAAUGCAAAUAUCAGUUCAAGAUUUGUUUCCAAUGGACCACUACAUAAAUUACUUAAUAACAUAGCGAUGAGUUUUGACAGUGUUUCUGACAUUGAGCAGCGAAGUAGAUCUCAGAUAUAUCCGCUGUUUUUGUUGAACCUAAACUGCCCAAGAUCUUUAUAUGAUUUGACUUUGGAGCCUUCAAAGACCUCUGUGGAAUUUAAGAUGUACCUUUGAAUUAUGAGAUCAAGAAAAAUAGGUGCAGGGCCCAGAGUUGCAAAGCUACGCUUGAGCGUCCUUCCCCGCAGCCAAAGAAACUGAAUGGAGAGUGCACUGUCCGGAGAGAGAUUCGAUCUUCACAGAAUAUUCUGUGGGGAAGUGCUUCUGAAAAGCACGAUCCUGAGUCCAGAUUCCUCUUGUCAGAAAGUUCACACUGGUCAAUUGAGAUGGAUCUCUUGCUCAUUGCACAGUUGGUGUAAACUGGAAAUCCAAAAGCUCUGUGCAACCCCUUCCAUCCAAUGCCAGAUACUAGAGCUGUAAGGAGACUGCAACAUUAUGCAAAAGCUAUCUACUCAGAGCUUCCGCAGCAGUCGUCCAUCAGUGUGAUCAAUCUUCCACCCAAAGUUUUGGUGACGGUGUAUUCUCUGAUGAAAGGCCAAGUGUGAAAAUGAAACUUGUUAACAUCUGGAAUAGCAAAUUACAAACUCAAAGGGGAGUGCUGGGAGUGCACAAGUACACGUGAUGGGGAGUCAAAAGAAGUGAGGAUGACCUUCUUUGAACACGUGCUUCUCCUUCUCUGUUGCUGCUAUUGUCCAGUGGGUUUGGGAUUCAUCUGAAUUCCUUUAACAAUUUGAAUGCAAGCGAUGGUUCAUUCAAGCUCUCAGAUUCAUCUCAGGUCCUGAUGUUUACACAGUGAAGGUAUACAGGCCCAAAUUGAUGGGUAAGAGAUGUGAUAAGUUAUCUAUUCUACUCUUUGUUUCCGUCACAACCAUUGUUUUUUUUUGCAGGUCCUUCAAUAGUUCUGUAUUCACUUUUUCAGUAUAUUUUCCUGAACAAAGAAAACUGAAAACUAAUCUUUGAGCAUGGGGAGUCAAGAGAAGUACACACGGUGGGAGUCAAAAGAAGUACACGCGAUGGGGAGUCAAAAGAAGCAUGCUGCAGAUGAGUGAAUUCAUUCGGAAGAACUACAUGAGAAGGUCAUGCCUGAAAUUGGUUACCACUAACUGGGUUUGGAUCUGCAAUUAUCAUUCUCAAGCUUCAAGAUCAUUUACCAGGUAAGUUACGAUUUUUGUUUAGAUUUUCAUCACACACCCAGUCUAUGGAACUUGAUAAAAUUGCCUUUUACCAGGAUUUUUGUUGCACUACUUUUGCAACAUUCAUUAAACCUCCUAACUCUAAGCAUGAAGUUGUAUGUUUUGGUUAAAGCAAGAACGUAAAUCUGAUUCACAAACAGCCAACAUCUGUCACACUUCUUGCGGGUAGCAUUCUCUACUUGUCUCUGUCAUAUUAUAGAUUCAAAAAGUUAAGUUCAUGUAAACCAUUUGCAAAUCAGUCUUAGAAGGGAAAGGUAACAACUAGUAUUCUAUUCCAAAAAACCAAACCUGCCACAACAUGUUACAGGUUUACUAAUUACAGAUAUAGGAGAGUAUCAGGAAGAUCUUCAACCCUAAAAGCAAAAAUUACAAGGUGCCUAAAGCAUUCAGUACUGAUUCUAGAUCUUCAUCUUCUGGAUGUUGUUACUCUUGUUCUGAAAGCAUCUGAGAUUCCUCUCUUUCCACACAGACCACUAAACAUUCAUAGCUUAUUAUCUUCAACAUUCAUAUUCCUCCCUCUGAAGGAUAUAUGCCUAUCUAAAUGUGGAAAACAAAGCAUGACUAGAACUUCUUCGCAGGCUAGUUAUUCCAUUCUGAGGUAUCAAUAACAGUUCAUAUCAGUUCUGUGUUCCAUUUUGUUAAAAACAAGAAUGAUUUUUGAGGGUUUAAGGUUUUCAAGUGUCAUUUGUGCGCAUUGUCUCUUAAGGUCCAUUUUAUGUUUUAAUUGGGUUGAUUAUAGCAAGUGAAUUAUGAUUUGUAACUUAUAACUUAUAAGGGAAGAGCUUUUUUGUUCUAAGACCUUGAAGCUUGAAUAGCUUCCAACUUAAUUUGGAAACGAUUCAUCACAUCAUUCAUGUUUUAGGAAAUACUCCACUAGCUAACAAGAUUCUCUUGCACUUGUUUCACGAGAAAAUAAUUGUUUUCUUAAUAAUACGGGUUUAGCGCAUAGCGGGAGCUUAAGUGCACCGGGCUGCCCUAUCUUAAUAAUACGGGUUUCAUGUAUGUUGUGCGUUAAUCCGCGUUAAUCCACUUGAUGUGGUUCUGUUAGAAUUUCUUCAACAGGUCAGUCCAUCGACACUAACUAGCUCUCUCAUAUUUUACUCCUUUAUUUAACUCUAAUUUUUGUCAUGGAAUCUUGCUUAUGUUCUUGCUUACAUGCCGUGUCAUGUUCUCUGAAUAAUGUAUUUGCAACCCUCAACUUAUUGGUACAGAUGGAUCUUCAAUACUACCCCCAUCAGUGAAUCGGGUCCUGAAUUUAAUUUAUGAAUUCUGAGCUACCUUGAUGCCCCUCACAUAAGAAAAAGAGAAAGAACAGGGAAUUUGAAUCAAAAGCGAUUUAAGAUACUUUUCUUUACUCCUGAUGUCUUUGUUUUCAUUUGUGUUUGAACUAUAACUUCAAUGUGGAUAGAGUUGCCUUCAGAAUGUUGUCUCAUUAUUGAAGAGUUGAAGCAGACUUCAUUGUGUUUCAAGUGAGGAAAUAUUUGUGUUGGAACUGCAUUUGAUGAUUGCUAAGUUAGGUUCGUGCAGUAGUUCCUCCGAGGCAUGGCAUGUAUUACAUCGGUAUGAAAUCAACCUAGAACGUGCAGCGAAGCAACUAAGAUCAGCCGUGUUCUAGUGUCUAAAAGCUCUUGGAGAUGGGGGUCAAUUCGGUGAGAGUAUCACAAGGGUUGUUAGUGCGUUGGUUUUCAACAGCCUCAAUGCUGAUGCCACCAAGGUAUCUGUUGCUAUAUGCAUUGGAACCUGCUAUGUUAAGGUGGAUGACAAUGUCAUUGUUCGUGGUGUAUUUUACAACCAACCAGUUCGAAGGAGGCAAAUGCACUCCAACCCAGAAGAGACUGUCUUGCAUUCUCUGAAAGAGUCUCUGCUCUUGUACAUCCUCUCCUUCAAAUUAUUGAUAUUGAAAGUGAGGAUGACCUCUGUUGCACACAUGCUUCUCCUUCUCCAUUGCCACUAUUGUCCAGUGAGUUUGGGAUUCAUCUGAGUUCCCUUAACAACUUGAAUGCAAGUGAUGGUUCAUUCAAGCUCUCAGGAUACAUUUUAGGUCCUGAUGUUUACACAGUGAAAGGUAUACAGGACCAAAUUGAUGGAUAAGAGAUGUGGUGUCUGUUGCUAUAGGGAUUGGAACCUGCUAUGUUAAGGUGGAUGACAAUGGAUUGGCCCGUCCUUCUCUUUAUUGAGGAUACUGUCGCGAAUCUCUGGACUGGAAGUAACUCUGUCGAGGAUGAUUUCCUGUUAAACAUGAAGCUGUUGUCACGUAUAAGGAAACAUGGAACAUAAUGUCUUGGUACCUGCCAUAAAUAAUUUGGAAAAAGAGGACUGCAAAGUUUGAUCUCAAUUUUUAUGCUCUUUCUAGAGAGGAUAUGGCCAGUGUAGGGGGAUUUGUGUUCAGGUCCUUCUGAAUUCUACUAUGAUGGAGAUGAUUUGACACAUGCAUUCUCAUGGUGAAGAGAAUAUUAAGAAUUAUUUGAUACCACGAGCUAUGCUCUCCUCUAGGGUGGAUGGGGACUCACAUAAAUGGAUUGACACUAGAAAUUGAGGUAAAACAGAUGAGCUUAUACGGAAGAAGAUGAGUAGAAGAAGUCAUUGCUCCUCCAUUAUACCAAGGCAAGAAGAAGUUCUUUGCCACGAGUGAGUCUUCAAGCAAGGCAGCAGGAAAUAGCAAUAUUAAGACUCUUCAUGAUCUGCCACUCAUGCCAGUCUUACCAUCAAUGUGAUCAAUCUUUUAUCCCAAGUUGUGGUGAUGGUGUAUUCUCCGAUGAAAGGCAAAGUGUGAAGAUGAAACUUGAUAACAUCUGGAAUAACAAAUUACAAACUCAAGGGGAGUGCUCUAGGGCACGUGAUGGGGAGUGAAAAGAAGCAUGCUGCAGAUGAGCGAAUUCGUUUAGAAGAACUGCGUGAGAAGGUAAUGGUUGUCUAAAACCUCAUUGAUGUGUCGUUUCAACGUGGAGUUUGUAGCUUAGUGAAUUAUCAGGUUCUAUCUGGACAAAAGAGGACAAUAACUUGUCUUGAUUCCGAGCGAGAAUUGGUACAUUUAUGGUCAUCUAAUGUGAAAUAGAUUUGCCUUGUGCUGCUUGGUUUGUGGGGAAGAGUUGAAACUCUUUAUAAUAGGAAACAUUGAUUUUUGAGUCUUUGACCAUACUAUGCUGACCAAAUUCAAAACUGGGGUUGGAACUUGGAUCUGCAACAUUCAUUCUCAAGCUUCAAAAUCAUUUACCUGGUAAGUUACGGAUCUUUGUUUAGAUUUUCAUCACAACCAGUCUAUGGAACUUGGUAAAAUUGCCAUUUACCUGAAUUUCUAUUCCACUAAUUUUUGCAACAUUCAUUGAAGUUGAACCUAACUCUAGCAUGAAGUUAUAUGUUUUGGUUAAAGUGGGGACGUAAAUCUGAUUCACAAGCAGCCAACAUCUGUCACACUUGUUGCGGUAACAUUCUCUAAUACUUGUCUCUGUCAUAUUAUACAUUCAAAAUGGUAAGUACAUGUAAACCAUUUUCAAAUCAGUCUUAUAUGGGUAAAGGUAAUAUAGUACUAAUUGUAGUUGGUAAUACAGGAUUAGAAAGUGACAUCAACUAAUAGGAAAUAAGAGUUGGGAUUAGGAAUUAUUGCGAAUAAAGCUACACUGUAUAGUAAAUACAAAAGGGCUGGGAGAGAUUGCUCGCCUACAUUCUUGAACCUUUUACUACACUUUAGAGCUUAUUCGCUUUAGCGAUCCUGUUCCUCCCUCUGAAGGAUAUAUGUAUGUCUAAGUGUGGAAAACAAAGCAUGACCAGCACUUCUUCUCAGUCUAGUUAUUCCAUUCUGAGGUAUCAAUACUGCAGUUUAUAUCAGUUCUGUGCUCCAUUUUGUUGAAAGCAAGAAGGAUUUUUGAGGGUUUAAGGCUUUCAAGUGUCAUUUGUGAACAUUGUCUCUUAAGGUCCAUUUUAUUUUUAUUUGGGUUGAUUAUAGCGAGUGAAUUUUGAAUUGUUACUUCUAAGGGAAUUUUUUUUGUUCUAACACCAUCAAUUACAAUGGAUGGAUGGAUGGAAUAUAUUUGCUUUUGAUCACUACUGUUUGCAGCGGUGUCUUGAUUAUUUAUUCUAGCUGAAGUUGAGUUGGAACAUACACAUUGGUGCUUAGUUACUUUAAGCCCAACUUAUGGAUACAGUAUAUCAGCUUAUGGAGACAGUAUAUGUGUUUGUUUCUUUCAUCUUCUGUCGUGCUUCCUUUCUUCUGGCCAUUUUAACUUUGGUUUACUAUGCUUCCUUUACUGCAGCGACAUCAAAAUACCGCCAUUCAGACGAUAUGCAUGCUCUCCCAGCAAGCUUUGGCUUCAAAGGAGAGGCUCUGAGCUAUAUUUCUGACGUUUCUUUGUUGGAAAGUGUUACGAAAACUCACUGGAGGCCAAAUGAGCAUCGUAAGGUUUUGAAGGACGACAAGUGUUUGUACCUUGGAAUUGAUGAUUGUAGACAAGAUGUUGGUACAACAGUAAUUCUGUAUGAGCCUACCUGACA